GAAAAAUGGCAUGCGUGAAAACUGACCUUAUUUACUGGAUGAUGAGGAUGCUUAUCCUUGAAGUUACAUGUACAUAUGGUUUGAAUGAAUGUCAGGGAGAUCAAAUCAGCAAUGUCAGUUUACCUACUGAGCUUCAGUCUGAAGUCCUGCUGCCCUGCGUCUUUGAAACAAACUUUUUGGAUUCAAACCAGACAAAUGAAUCUUGUGUGGUGUGGACUCACCUCAAUUCAACAAACGGAGGAAUUGUGGAGAUCAGUCUGGAUGGUGAGGCUAAAUUCUGGAAUAACCGACGUGGACGGAUUAAGGCAUUCACAAAAUCACAACAUUCUGACCUGCUGGACUUCUCCAUCCAGAUUCGUAAUGUGCAGCAGUCUGAUUUAGGUGUCUACCAAUGCUCUCUGUUCAGAGAGAACUGUCGUCUAGCCUAUAAGAGGAUUGAACUACACAACGUGGAUUUCCGGUGGCCUUGGAUGAUCAUAGCUGGAGCAGCAGUUGGAGGAGCAGUGCUAAUUGUAAUCACCAUAAUCGCAAUGAAAGUUUUUAAAUG